rnacentral:rRNA from 1 species
AGUGAACGCUGGCGGCGUGCUUAACACAUGCAAGUCGAACGAGAACGGAAUAUAGCUUGCUAUAGUUGUCAGCUAAGUGGCGCACGGGUGAGUAAUGUAUAGAUAACCUGCCCUUAAGAAAGGAAUAACAGUUGGAAACGACUGCUAAUGCCCUAUAUGCCUUUAAUACAUAAGUAUGCAAGGGAAACGCUUUAGUGCUUAAGGAUGGGUCUGUAUGGUAUCAGCUUGUUGGUGAGGUAAUGGCUCACCAAGGCUAUGACGCCUAACUGGUUUGAGAGGAUGAUCAGUCACACUGGAACUGAGACACGGUCCAGACUCCUACGGGAGGCAGCAGUGGGGAAUAUUGCACAAUGGACGAAAGUCUGGUGCAGCAACGCCGCGUGGAGGAUGACACAUUUCGGUGCGUAAACUCCUUUUAUAUAGGAAGAUAAUGACGGUACUAUAUGAAUAAGCACCGGCUAACUCCGUGCCAGCCGCCGCGGUA